ACUUACUUUUGACAUUACUCGGUGUAUGAAGUGCAGAAAUUGCACUCCUUAUAAAUGACACUCAGUUUUUGGUGAAGUGAAGAAAAGUUCCUGCCUGAAACAACUACACACACAAAAGGAGGAGGGAAUUUAUUAUGGGAACUUGGAAUACUUCCAUCAUAAUCAGAAUAGGGAUUCCCACCUCUUCUGUUAAAACGUAAUUACCUCACCACAGACAAUAUGCCUCAUUUUUGUCUAGCUUGCUAUCUAUGCCUUUUUAAAUUUUAAUAAAAUAAAAACCUAAGUAGGUUAUUUUUAUUAGCUUGCUUUUUUUUUUUUUUUUGCUUUAUUUAUUCAAACUCUGAGCAUGUUAUUUUUAUUACCUUGUGGAUGCUUUUUGCUUUAUUUACUAUGGAUUUUAAAUUUUCUUUUCAAGCAUUAAGGUGCAUCACAGUACAGAAGCAGGCCUUGUUAUAAGCAUGCACAAGUUUAUUGACAGUUCAGGAUCAGUGCUGUUCUCGUCUUGAUUCGGCAGAGUGGGUACCUUUUAUUGUAUUUAUGAUAUUAUAAAAAAUAGUAUUUUCUCAGCUUAUUAUGAAACCCACUCAAUAGCUUAGAGACAAGAAAGGAGCUCAGCCUAAAUGUUCCUGAACACUCUGAGCCUCUGCCCCCAGUAUAUUGUGGGAUACUUAUUUGUGUCUCUGCUCUGAUCAAUUUGUGUGACCUCACAAUAGUAAGGUGAGCAAUCUCUAAGGUGAGGGAUUUCUGGUAAUACCAAGGAGCUUCAGAGACUUGAGGAAAAAACAAAAACAAAAUUGUAUCUGAGAUAGUGUUGUUCCCAUAAAAAAUGCCACAGUCAUCUGAUAACAGAUAUUUUCUUUUUUCUUCACUUUAGGCUGCAUGGUGCACAGAAACAAAUGAAGUUCUUCUCCAUGAAAAUUAGACCCAAAUACCUGUAGCCUUUUACAAAAAUUACCCUGCUACAAGCCUUCCCCAACUACUUACAUUUGGAGUUGUGCAAUGUCCUCUCCUCAGAAGGAAAUCAUCCAAUUAGACUAACAGCUGCAGAGAUUGUAACAAGCCUUGCAUAUUGGAAAAUUAAAGAAAAUGCAGCUGAGUAUGGAAAGGAGUAUGGAAAGAAGCUAAGUUAG
rnacentral:lncRNA from 1 species